rnacentral:rRNA from 1 species
GCGACUAAGCGUACACGGUGGAUGCCCUGGCAGUCAGAGGCGAUGAAGGACGUGCUAAUCUGCGAUAAGCGUCGGUAAGGUGAUAUGAACCGUUAUAACCGGCGAUUUCCGAAUGGGGAAACCCAGUGUGUUUCGACACACUAUCAUUAACUGAAUCCAUAGGUUAAUGAGGCGAACCGGGGGAACUGAAACAUCUAAGUACCCCGAGGAAAAGAAAUCAACCGAGAUUCCCCCAGUAGCGGCGAGCGAACGGGGAGCAGCCCAGAGCCUGAAUCAGUAUGUGUGUUAGUGGAAGCGUCUGGAAAGGCGCGCGAUACAGGGUGACAGCCCCGUACACAAAAAUGCACAUGCUGUGAGCUCGAUGAGUAGGGCGGGACACGUGGUAUCCUGUCUGAAUAUGGGGGGACCAUCCUCCAAGGCUAAAUACUCCUGACUGACCGAUAGUGAACCAGUACCGUGAGGGAAAGGCGAAAAGAACCCCGGCGAGGGGAGUGAAAAAGAACCUGAAACCGUGUACGUACAAGCAGUGGGAGCACAGAGCAAUCUGUGUGACUGCGUACCUUUUGUAUAAUGGGUCAGCGACUUAUAUUCUGUAGCAAGGUUAACCGAAUAGGGGAGCCGAAGGGAAACCGAGUCUUAACUGGGCGUUAAGUUGCAGGGUAUAGACCCGAAACCCGGUGAUCUAGCCAUGGGCAGGUUGAAGGUUGGGUAACACUAACUGGAGGACCGAACCGACUAAUGUUGAAAAAUUAGCGGAUGACUUGUGGCUGGGGGUGAAAGGCCAAUCAAACCGGGAGAUAGCUGGUUCUCCCCGAAAGCUAUUUAGGUAGCGCCUCGUGAAUUCAUCUCCGGGGGUAGAGCACUGUUUCGGCAAGGGGGUCAUCCCGACUUACCAACCCGAUGCAAACUGCGAAUACCGGAGAAUGUUAUCACGGGAGACACACGGCGGGUGCUAACGUCCGUCGUGAAGAGGGAAACAACCCAGACCGCCAGCUAAGGUCCCAAAGUCAUGGUUAAGUGGGAAACGAUGUGGGAAGGCCCAGACAGCCAGGAUGUUGGCUUAGAAGCAGCCAUCAUUUAAAGAAAGCGUAAUAGCUCACUGGUCGAGUCGGCCUGCGCGGAAGAUGUAACGGGGCUAAACCAUGCACCGAAGCUGCGGCAGCGACGCUGAUGCGUUGUUGGGUAGGGGAGCGUUCUGUAAGCCUGCGAAGGUGUGCUGUGAGGCAUGCUGGAGGUAUCAGAAGUGCGAAUGCUGACAUAAGUAACGAUAAAGCGGGUGAAAAGCCCGCUCGCCGGAAGACCAAGGGUUCCUGUCCAACGUUAAUCGGGGCAGGGUGAGUCGACCCCUAAGGCGAGGCCGAAAGGCGUAGUCGAUGGGAAACAGGUUAAUAUUCCUGUACUUGGUGUUACUGCGAAGGGGGGACGGAGAAGGCUAUGUUGGCCGGGCGACGGUUGUCCCGGUUUAAGCGUGUAGGCUGGUUUUCCAGGCAAAUCCGGAAAAUCAAGGCUGAGGCGUGAUGACGAGGCACUACGGUGCUGAAGCAACAAAUGCCCUGCUUCCAGGAAAAGCCUCUAAGCAUCAGGUAACAUCAAAUCGUACCCCAAACCGACACAGGUGGUCAGGUAGAGAAUACCAAGGCGCUUGAGAGAACUCGGGUGAAGGAACUAGGCAAAAUGGUGCCGUAACUUCGGGAGAAGGCACGCUGAUAUGUAGGUGAAGUCCCUCGCGGAUGGAGCUGAAAUCAGUCGAAGAUACCAGCUGGCUGCAACUGUUUAUUAAAAACACAGCACUGUGCAAACACGAAAGUGGACGUAUACGGUGUGACGCCUGCCCGGUGCCGGAAGGUUAAUUGAUGGGGUUAGCGCAAGCGAAGCUCUUGAUCGAAGCCCCGGUAAACGGCGGCCGUAACUAUAACGGUCCUAAGGUAGCGAAAUUCCUUGUCGGGUAAGUUCCGACCUGCACGAAUGGCGUAAUGAUGGCCAGGCUGUCUCCACCCGAGACUCAGUGAAAUUGAACUCGCUGUGAAGAUGCAGUGUACCCGCGGCAAGACGGAAAGACCCCGUGAACCUUUACUAUAGCUUGACACUGAACAUUGAGCCUUGAUGUGUAGGAUAGGUGGGAGGCUUUGAAGUGUGGACGCCAGUCUGCAUGGAGCCGACCUUGAAAUACCACCCUUUAAUGUUUGAUGUUCUAACGUUGACCCGUAAUCCGGGUUGCGGACAGUGUCUGGUGGGUAGUUUGACUGGGGCGGUCUCCUCCUAAAGAGUAACGGAGGAGCACGAAGGUUGGCUAAUCCUGGUCGGACAUCAGGAGGUUAGUGCAAUGGCAUAAGCCAGCUUGACUGCGAGCGUGACGGCGCGAGCAGGUGCGAAAGCAGGUCAUAGUGAUCCGGUGGUUCUGAAUGGAAGGGCCAUCGCUCAACGGAUAAAAGGUACUCCGGGGAUAACAGGCUGAUACCGCCCAAGAGUUCAUAUCGACGGCGGUGUUUGGCACCUCGAUGUCGGCUCAUCACAUCCUGGGGCUGAAGUAGGUCCCAAGGGUAUGGCUGUUCGCCAUUUAAAGUGGUACGCGAGCUGGGUUUAGAACGUCGUGAGACAGUUCGGUCCCUAUCUGCCGUGGGCGCUGGAGAACUGAGGGGGGCUGCUCCUAGUACGAGAGGACCGGAGUGGACGCAUCACUGGUGUUCGGGUUGUCAUGCCAAUGGCACUGCCCGGUAGCUAAAUGCGGAAGAGAUAAGUGCUGAAAGCAUCUAAGCACGAAACUUGCC